AUGGGCCCGCGCCCGAUUAGCUAGUUGGUGAGGUAACGGCUCACCAAGGCUUCGAUCGGUAACCGGCCUGAGAGGGCGAUCGGUCACACCGGAACUGAGACACGGUCCGGACUCCUACGGGAGGCAGCAGUGGGGAAUCUUGCGCAAUGGGCGAAAGCCUGACGCAGCAACGCCGCGUGGAGGAUGAAGGCCCUUGGGUUGUAAACUCCUGUCGGCUGGGAAGAAAUCGUUCGGGGUUAAUACCCCCGGACGUUGACUGUACCAGCAAAGGAAGCCCCGGCUAACUCUGUGCCAGCAGCCGCGGUAAUACAGAGGGGGCUAGCGUUAUUCGGAAUUAUUGGGCGUAAAGGGCGCGUAGGCGGCCAUGCGUGUCUUCCGUGAAAUCCCUCGGCUUAACUGAGGACGUGCGGAAGAAACUGCAAGGCUCGAGUCCGGGAGAGGGGGGUGGAAUUCCCAGUGUAGCGGUGAAAUGCGUAGAUAUUGGGAGGAACACCGGUGGCGAAGGCGGCCCCCUGGACCGGUACUGACGCUGAGGCGCGAAAGCGUGGGUAGCAAACGGGAUUAGAUACCCCGGUAGUCCACGCCGUAAACGAUGGGCACUUGGUGUCGCGGGUAUCGACCCCUGCGGUGCCGAAGCUAACGCAUUAAGUGCCCCGCCUGGGGAGUACGGUCGCAAGGCUGAAACUCAAAGGAAUUGACGG
rnacentral:rRNA from 1 species